rnacentral:rRNA from 1 species
UACGUAGGUGACUAGCGUUGUCCGGAUUUACUGGGCGUAAAGAGCGCGCAGGCGGUCGUUCAAGUCGAGUGUGAAAGCCCCCGGCUCAACUGGGGAGGGUCAUUCGAUACUGAUCGACUCGAAGGCAGGAGAGGGAAGCGGAAUUCCCGGUGUAGUGGUGAAAUGCGUAGAUAUCAGGAGGAACACCAGUGGCGAAGGCGGCUUCCUGGCCUGUUCUUGACGCUGAGGCGCGAAAGCUAGGGGAGCAAACGGG